GAUGAACGCUGGCGGCGUGCCUAAUACAUGCAAGUCGAACGAAAAGACGAGGAGCUUGCUCCUCUGACGUUAGCGGAGGACGGGUGAGUAACACGUGGAUACCGUACCUAUAAGAGGGGGAUAACUUCGGGAAACCGGAGCUAAUACCGGAGAAUAUAUUGAACCGCGGGGUUCAAUAGUGAAAGACGGUUUUGGUGGCACUUAUAGAUGGAUCCGCGCCGCAUUAGCUAGUUGGUAAGGUAACGGCUUACCAAGGCAACGAUGCGUAGCCGACGGGAGAGGGUGAUCGGCUACACUGGAACUGAGCCACGGUCCAGACGCCUGCGGGAGGCAGCAGUAGGGAAUGUUCCGCAAUGGGCGAAAGCCUGACGGAGCAACGCCGCGUGUGUGAUGAAGGUCUUCGGAUCGUAAAACUCUGUUAUUAGGGAAGAACAAAUGUGUAAGUAACCAUGCCCGUCUUGACGGUACCUAGUCAGAAAGCCACGGCUAACUACGUG
rnacentral:rRNA from 1 species